CUCUGUUGUGGCUUGGUGUGAUCCGAGUUCGUGCCAUUGGACUGAGGGGGAUCAGAUGUCCCAUUCUCAUUACCUGAAGGGGAAUUUCUCCCUGAACAUCACUGCUGUUAAUCCCAGCAAUACUGGAUCAUACACCUGCCGGUGUGAGCAUACAUCUAUUCAGGAAGUGCUGCUUCAGAUUAUAAAUACUUCUACAGUGAAGGUGGAGUUUGAUGGUACUGCUGUUCUGCCCUGCUCUGUUAACUGUUCCGGAUUGGCUAAAUGGACUACUCAAACUGAUCUUCUGGCUGAGUGUGAUCAGACUUCCUGCAGAUCAGUGAAGGAGGGAUAUCAGAUGAUCCAUGAUCAAUACCUGCAGGGAGAUCCUUCUUUGAUCAUCACUGAAGCUGAUUUCAGUAAGAAAGGAUGGUACACCUGUAACUGUGAUGAUACACACCUGUGCCUUGAUCGUCUUCAGAUUAAUCCCCUGAAGACUCAAGUUCAGAUAAAGCCUGGUGAAUCUCUGCUGCUGGAGUUAGACGUGUUAGAUCCAGUGGAGGUGAUCUACAGCGAGACAGGUGCAGCUAAUCAAACCAGCCAUCAGUUCUGUACAGUGGACGAGCGCUCAUCGCAGGUUACACCUCAACACACUCUGAGAACAUCUCUGGAGCUGACAGGACUGAAUGAGUCUGAUAGUGGAGUUUACACCAUCCGGGACAUCAAGAAUAAAGAAAACAUUCACAUCUACAAUGUGACCAUUCAAGGAGAUAAUCCGGAUGGAGAGAAGGGAUUUUGGCUACCAAUGUGGGGGUUUUGGUCAAUACUGGGAACAUAUUUUCUUCUCUUUGUAGUUCUUGUGGCUGUAAUUGUGUGUAUGUGUCAGAAAAACAAAUAUCUAGAAACACAGGGGCAUCGUCCAAAUGAAGAGGACAGCCAGAAUACAGAACAGGAGCCCUUGGCUACUACUGAUGAGUUGGUUGACACAGAUUCAUCACCUACAGCAAACAGUGAUGAAACAGGGUCAGGGAGGUCUGAACAAUGUAUUCCCCUCUGCUGCCUCUCAGAAAACACUUCAAUUUCCUGAAUCCAGUCACACAAUCACAGAGAGUAUGAGAAGGAGCUUCUUCCCAAAGAACAUUCAGAUACUGAACAAAGAUCUACGUAAUGGACUAUUUGUUUAUACUGAAGACCUUCGAGUAAAGAAAUCUGACAAAAUUUUAUUGAGACUAGACCAUUCAUUAUGCGGUAAGUUCAGUAUGAAGUUUUUUUUAAUCAGCUUCUGUUAUUUAAGAUACAAGUUAUUUAACCAAAUUAAUGUAGAGAGUAGCUUCUUACCAUCAUAUUCUUCAGACUAUAAGGCCCAAAAAAUCAUCAGAGCUCCUUAUAAUCCGCUGCUCUUUAUGUAUGAAUUCUAUCAAGGAGCAGUAAAGUCACUCCACUGAAGUACAGAAUUAUACAGGAGAUUCAGUUUAGUUAAGCACCGAGACUGAAGCAGCAUUAGCAUUAGCCGCUAACAUGCUAACAAAGAUAAUACUCUUUCGCCGUUCAGAGUAUUAUCGGCCUGUAGCCCAGGGUAGCACUGCUGGAGUAGCAUUAGCAUUAGCCUUUAACCGCUAGGUCUUUUCUUGUGCAUUUUUCGCAGUAAAACAAGCUAUGUAGUACGCACCUAAAAUCGUCCAGGCAAAUAUAUAACACUCAGUGUUAUAUAUAUAUAUAUAUAUAUAUAUAUAUAUAUAGUGCUUAUAGUGCAUAAAGUACGAUAGUUAAAGAACCAUGUGAAAAGACUCAUCCUGUGGUGGUGAAAAGGAUGUAAAAAAAAUCUGUUUAAGAGUUAGGGUCAAAUUAUUAACAUGCAUCAAGGUGAGGAAACAGCUAAGGAGAAAAAGCUGGAAAUACUAAAAUCAGGUUAUGAACUCCUCCAACUCAACUCAUCAUUAAACAGUGGAAGGACAGUGAAGAAAAUUCAUCUUCAAGGGAAAAAAUCCUGAAUGAUGGUAAUCCACGAUUACUUAAACGUGUUGAUUCACGCUUUUAUGUUUAUAUAAUAUUCAAUGUGUUAUUCACUGACAAAAUCUACAGUGGACAGAUUACAACUUGUUCAUAAAGCUGCAGCUGCAGUUCUGACACUAACAAAAAGAGAGAAAACACAUUAUACCACUUUUAGCUUUAAUACACUACUUGUUUUAUUUAGAUUAGAAUUAGAACAGAUUUUAAGAUUCUUUUAUCAAUGUAUAAAUCUUUUAAUAGAUCUGCGUAUACUGUAUAUCAGUAUUUAUCAGUAUAUAACAGUUUAUAGUCUAUGUUACAGAUCAAUCCCUGAGAUCAUUGAUUGCUGCAUUAUUGAAUAUUCCCAGAAAUAAGCAGCCGUUUAUUUUCAUGAACGAAAAAUCUGGAACACCCUUCUAUUUUAUAUCUGUAAGCCGUUAUCUGUUACUAACUUUAAAAAUGAGCUAAAGUUUAUUAAUUUCCCCUAUGUUUUCUCUUAGUUUUGUUUAUCCUAUAUUGUUUGUCAUGUAUUAGUUUUACUAUAUAUUUUUUUACUAUAUCUAAUAUACAUUAUCAUAACAUGUAUUUACAUACAUGUACUCUGAAAAAAAAUGAGAGCACUUAAAAAUGAUGAGUUUGUUUGAUUUUACCAAAUUAAAAACCUCUGAAAGCUCUGCAUCUUUUUUGUUAUUUCAGACAUUUCUCAUUUUCUGUAAAUAAAUGCUCUAAAUGACGAUAUGUUUAUUUGGAA
ensembl:lncRNA